rnacentral:rRNA from 1 species
UACGUAGGGGGCUAGCGUUGUCCGGAAUCAUUGGGCGUAAAGCGCGUGUAGGCGGCCCGAUAAGUCCGCUGUGAAAGUCCAGGGCUCAACCCUGGGAUGCCGGUGGAUACUGUCGGGCUCGAGUCCGGAAGAGGCGAGUGGAAUUCCUGGUGUAGCGGUGAAAUGCGCAGAUAUCAGGAGGAACACCAAUGGCGAAGGCAGCUCGCUGGGACGUAACUGACGCUGAGACGCGAAAGCGUGGGGAGCAAACAGG